rnacentral:rRNA from 1 species
UACAGAGGGAGCAAGCGUUGUUCGGAAUUACUGGGCGUAAAGGGCGCGUAGGCGGCCUGCUAAGUCGAACGUGAAAUCCCUGGGCUCAACCCAGGAACUGCGUCCGAUACUGGUUGGCUUGAAUCCGGGAGAGGGAUGUGGAAUUCCAGGUGUAGCGGUGAAAUGCGUAGAUAUCUGGAGGAACACCGGUGGCGAAGGCGACAUCCUGGACCGGUAUUGACGCUGAGGCGCGAAAGCCAGGGGAGCAAACGGG